rnacentral:rRNA from 1 species
UGGGGAAUUUUGGACAAUGGGGGCAACCCUGAUCCAGCCAUCCCGCGUGUGCGAUGAAGGCCUUCGGGUUGUAAAGCACUUUUGGCAGGGAAGAAACAGCCUGGGCUAAUAUCCCGGGCGACUGACGGUACCUGCAGAAUAAGCACCGGCUAACUACGUGCCAGCAGCCGCGGUAAUACGUAGGGUGCAAGCGUUAAUCGGAAUUACUGGGCGUAAAGCGUGCGCAGGCGGUUCGGAAAGAAAGGUGUGCAAUCCCAGGGCUUAACCUUGGAACUGCACUUUUAACUACCGGGCUAGAGUACGUCAGAGGGGGGUAGAAUUCCACGUGUAGCAGUGAAAUGCGUAGAGAUGUGGAGGAAUACCGAUGGCGAAGUCAGCCCCCUGGGAUGAUACUGACGCUCAUGCACGAAAGCGUGGGGAGCAAACA